UUCAUUUACACAUGAUGAUUUUGUUCAACGUUUGAUACAAACAAAUUUGUGUUUUUUUAAUUCGCUACAGUUUUUUUAUAACCGUUACAGUAUAAAAAACCUUUUAGAAGUUCAUCAAUGGGUUUUAUACAUUAUUUUCAAAUUAAAGAUCAAGUAAAACGCAAGGUCUUUUUCUUGUCUAAACCAGUUACCAGCAGAAUUCUGUUUGCUUCUUAUUUAAUCGUUUCAAAACAAAAUGAUUUAAGUUUAUUAAUACACAAAAAACUUCAUAUUAUCAUUGCGUUCAAUUAAAAAAAUUAUGUUACUAGGAUGGACGUGUCCAUGUUAAAUACAUGGAAAUUUUAAACAAAGCCAAAUGAUAUGUGUUUGAGAAAAAACACUUCAAGAAAAAAUUAUCAACGAUUAUGAUUGUAAAAGUAAAUUUUUGAAAAAAAAGAAAAGGUUUACGCUUUCGCUAUGCGAUAAAAUAACUUGGAGCGUCACAGAAAAUCGUUAUUUCAGGUGACAGCCAAACACAUGUGUACUAACAAAUCGUUUCUAUUUGUUUUAAACAACCACGAACAAUGGAUUUCAAAUGCUUAUUCGUGAUACUCGUACCAACAUAACCUUCCUUGCGUCUAAGUAAACACUCCCCCUUUGUUUUAGAUUGAAUAACAUUUAGAGUUAAAAUUUGAAACUAAAACAACCAAAGCAUGGCAGCUAGAAGAAACGUCAAAUUGAAUUAUUGUGUUCUAAAACUUAAAAAUAAAAGGCUUCCAUAGUUGGAAUAGAAUUAUGAUAUUUUUCUUUAAUCCCCUUUAAAAGAUACAAAUAAAUUCACAAGCACCCAAUACUUUCGUCAGAAAUAACAAAAAAACUAAAGCACUAAUUUAAUUUGACUAUUUUAUGAUUUUUAUUUAUUUUUUCUUUAAAUUCUGUAACGAAAAUUUCAAAUUCUUUAAUACGUUAUAAUAGUCAUCUUGACCGCAAUCUUUUGUCUAAAAAAAUGCAAAAUUAAAAUCAUAAGACAUGUUUUACCAUUUUUUCUUAUGCGUCAAUCUAAAUGUCUAGAUACACUAUUUAAAAGGCGGUAUCUUGUUUAGUGAGAUAGUGCAUAAUUCAAUAUACCACAGUUCCGUUAGAGUAUCUAUUUUGUCAAAUUUAACCUACCGAUGAGGCUAAUCGCAGUGGAGUCGUCACAUUUUUAUAUUGAUCACCUUUUAAGUUUUCUUAAGAAACAUGGAGUAUGUGUUUGUUUACAAGGAAAAAUGUGGAAAAGAUAUGUAUUAUACUAUACAAUUACGUACAAGGACUGUGAUGCCAAUAAUUGAUGAAACAUGGUACCAUGUGUUGAAGUUGAGCAUGACGUAUAGAAAAUUACUCGUUUUAUCAUUAAGUCAAUUGUUAACCUUUAUGCCUCUGUUGAUUUUUUUGAGAAUAAAAUAUACCAAUAUCUUAAAUGUCUUGAUGCGUUGGCUGACUAGUGGUUUCUUCAAUGAACUAAACAAUGUUACCCUAGUGCAAACAACUUUAAUAAAAAACAUUCUUAAAAAAGAGGUCAAAUUUUAAAAAGCAUUUUUAUGCUUUUUUAAAAAUAAAUUUGGAUAACUUUAUCUUUGAGUGACUGUGGAGACCAACAAAACUCAUGACUGAAAUUGUGCAGCUACACAGAGUAAAAAAAUUUGGUUAUUUUUUCUAUGGACAAAGCAAUUAUAUCAAAGUAUCCUAGAGCUAUAGAUAACUUCUUUUUUUUUAAAAAGGAAAACACAAAAACGAAAUAUUAGGCAUUCAUAAAUACUUUUUUUUAAUUCCUUAUAAAUUUUUUUUAAAAUACUUCUUGUACCGUUUCAUAGUAACAAUUCAAACAAUCCAAUUGUCUAAGGUUAAUUUAAAAAGAUCUGGGCAUUCAUAUGCUUAUGGUCGGCAUAACGUUAAAAACUGUGAAUAAGUACGACUUUUAUAUUUAGAAAAUGACAAGUCGAGCUAAAAGUUGAAAGCAAGGGCUAUAAUGAGUGAAUCACCUUUUUUCCAAAGGACGCAUUGUAUUUUCCCACGAUUCCACUAAAUUAUUAAAGUUAAACAAGGAUGGUGAACAAAUGUAGAAGAAAAUCACUCAUUCACAAUAAAUUGAUUUCGAUUCUAACGCACUUCCUGUUAAGGGUUUCUGCAGUAAACUUGUUAAAAAAAUCUCAUUUAUUUAAAGCGCACAUAAACAAAUUAAAGAUUAAUAUGAAACAUUACAAAAAAAUUAAAAAAAUUUAUUAGCGUUAUUAAAAAAAAACCACUAUUUUCACGAUAUUCGUAGUAAACCUAUUUAUAAAAAGCGAACCAAUUUUAUUCCGUUGUUCUUGUUUGAAGGAACUAGAGGGUGCACUCAAUGUAGGUAAAAAAUAAUUUCAUUGCUACUGGAGCGUGUUUUGAAAAAUAGCAUCCUAAAACCGUUUUAUU